rnacentral:rRNA from 1 species
GAUGAACGCUGGCGGCGUGCCUAAUACAUGCAAGUCGAACGAACAGGCGAGGAGCUUGCUCUUCUGGCGUGAGCUGCGAACGGGUGAGUAACACGUGGAUAACCUGCCUAUUAGCGGGGGAUAACUUCUGGAAACCAUAGCUAAUACCGGAUAAUAUAUUAAAUUGCAUGGUUCAUUCGUGAAAGACGGUUUUGCUGUAACAUAUAGAUGGAUCCGCGCCGCAUUAGCUAGUUGGUAAGGUAACGGCUUACAAAGGCAACGAUGCGUAGCCGACCUGAGAGGGUGAUCGGCCACACUGGAACUGAGACACGGUCCAGACUCCUACGGGAGGCAGCAGUAGGGAAUCUUCGGCAAUGGGCGGAAGCCUGACGGAGCAACGCCGCGUGAGUGAUGAAGGUCUUCGGAUCGUAAAACUCUGUUAUUAGGGAAGAACAAAUGUGAAAGUAAAUAGGCAAGUCUUGAAGGUACCUAAACAGAAAGCCAAGGGUAAAUUACGG